rnacentral:rRNA from 1 species
GACGAACGCUGGCGGCGUGCCUAAUACAUGCAAGUUGAGCGCUGAAGGUUGGUACUUGUACCAACUGGAUGAGCAGCGAACGGGUGAGUAAAGCGUGGGGAAUCUGCCUUUGAGCGGGGGACAACAUUUGGAAACGAAUGCUAAUACCGCAUAAAAACUUUAAACACAAGUUUUAAGUUUGAAAGAUGCAAUUGCAUCACUCAAAGAUGAUCCCGCGUUGUAUUAGCUAGUUGGUGAGGUAAAGGCUCACCAAGGCGAUGAUACAUAGCCGACCUGAGAGGGUGAUCGGCCACAUUGGGACUGAGACACGGCCCAAACUCCUACGGGAGGCAGCAGUAGGGAAUCUUCGGCAAUGGACGAAAGUCUGACCGAGCAACGCCGCGUGAGUGAAGAAGGUUUUCGGAUCGUAAAACUCUGUUGGUAGAGAAGAACGUUGGUGAGAGUGGAAAGCUCAUCAAGUGACGGUAACUACCCAGAAAGGGACGGCUAACUACGUGC